rnacentral:rRNA from 1 species
AACGAACGCUGGCGGCAUGACUAACACAUGCAAGUCGAACGAGGCCCUUCGGGGUUUAGUGGCGCACGGGUGCGUAACGCGUGGGAAUCUGCCCUUUGGUUCGGAAUAACAGCUGGAAACGGCUGCUAAUACCGGAUGAUGACGAAAGUCCAAAGAUUUAUCGCCAGAGGAUGAGUCCGCGUUGGAUUAGGUAGUUGGUGGGGUAAAGGCCUACCAAGCCGACGGUCCAUAGCUGGUCUGAGAGGAUGAUCAGCCACACUGGGACUGAGACACGGCCCAGACUCCUACGGGAGGCAGCAGUGGGGAAUAUUGGACAAUGGGCGCAAGCCUGAUCCAGCAAUGCCGCGUGAGUGAUGAAGGCCCUAGGGUUGUAAAGCUCUUUUACCCGGGAAGAUAAUGACUGUACCGGGAGAAUAAGCCCCGGCUAACUCCGUG